rnacentral:lncRNA from 1 species
AGCUUAUGUUAUGAGAAACCCCAUUUUCAAAAUCUUUUUAUCAUGUAUCUUUGAUAUUAGACUGAUCAUGCCAAUGAAGUGUGGAUUAUGAGAAGGGAGGAGCCUGAAUUUUUGAUGGAAUAACCUCACCUGGAACCAGAGAGGAGUCACAAUAGCAGCUCUUGGUGCUGACUGCAUACCUAUAGUUUUCACAGAUCCUGUCAAAAAAGCAUGUGGGGUUUCUCACUCUGGUAAAUAUAUUUAAUUAAGCAUUGAGGAUUCUCAUAAAUUUUUAAUGCAGGAAAAAAUGAAUUUUUCUAGUGGGCGUGACAGUUAAUUAUAUUACUUUGUGAUCGAUGUAAUGAUAGGGGUGGGGCCUGUGUACUAUACUCUUAUUAUAGGAGCAGAUAAAGGGAAUAUAUAAGUCAAAUGAUAUGAAUUAGAGUAGAAUUCCCAAAGGAGAUGGUGCCUAGGUAGAUUCCUGAGGAGUCUUUAGGUUUUGGCUCAGUGUCAGUGUUUGUAAGCAAGGAUAUUAUUAUUUUUUUAAUGCUUAACAUUUAUGAGUUAUAGAAGGAAUUCACAUCAGAAACCAUUUUCACCUAUCGACAGGCAUAAUGUGUAGCACAUACUAAGCAUUAUUAUAUUGCACUGUGUUAAGUGUUUAACAUCUGUCAGCCUUCCAACAAUGGAAAGUAGUCAAAUCUACCAUUAUCCCCAUUUUACAGAUGAGGAAACUGAAGAACAGCAAUUUAAGUAACUUAACCUAAGAUCAUGUGGCUAGUAUUUGGUAGAGCCAGACUAAGCUCAGAAGUGGCUUUGUGCCUAUGCUGCUAACCACUGUGCUUCACUGCCUCUGGGUGCUGCUGGAUGCAUGAAACUGCUUCUCACAUGUAGUGGGCAGGUAAAUUGGUAUAACUGGUAUAUUUGAUAAUGGAGAAGUAUUGGCAGUGGCUUGUAGAAAAGUCUUAGAAUAUCUUUGCAUGGAAUAAGGUUUUCUAAAAGCUGAGAAGAUGAGAAGAUUUUAGAGGGAUACUUUAUCUCUGAGCUACAUCCCUAGUCCUUUUGUUUGUUUGAUUUGUUUUUUGGUACCAGGGAUUGAACUCAGAAGCACUCAACCACUGAGCCACAUCCCCAGUCCUAUUUUGUAUUUUAUGUAGAGACAGGGUCUCACUGACUUGGUAAGCAAGGAUAUUAUUAACAUUAAGGGGUAAGAUAAUUCUACUGUGCCCUUGAAAGUAUCUUUGGCCCUUGCAAUUCUUAAUGCCAGUAGCACCCCCAGUCAUUGCAAUAAUCAAACAGCAACCCUCCAUUCUUGUCUAAGUACUGCCUAGGGACACAAUGCUACCUCUGCUUGGGGACCCUUGAUAUUCAGGCACCAGGGAGUAGGAAUGUCAGGCAUGGUAUACAAAGAAAUUCACACAGAUGCAGCAGCCCAUGUAAAAGUAGGGAGUUAAAAAAAGGAAGACAUGUUUGCAAAACUGCAUUUAGUUUAAACAACUACAUGUGUUUAACGAUAACUGUUGCCGAAGAGCACAGAUGUACUUUUAGAUGCUAUACUAAGGUUACAGAAUUUUUUUUGGUGAAGGUAUUUGAAAAUAAUAUUUAAAUUAUCCUGUGAUUAUGAUUCUAUGUGAAAUGAGAACUGAUGUUUUGAAUUCCUUCUUACUUGUAAAUCUGUGACUACUUUGAUAUUUAGACUAUAAAGAAAAAAGUGACAUAUUUUUCUUCUGACCUAGCUAAAUUAAUGGAAUUGGUUGAGAAUUCAGGGUUAUCAUAUGACAUUGUCAAAAGUUGUUUAAGUUUUGGAUUUCAGUUCUUGGCUUUAAAAAGGAAAUACUAUUUACUAAUAAUGUUUUGAAAUGUUUAUUUUUAAGAUCUCUAAGAUGAAGCAGUCUAUAUGAUGAAUUUAAUAAAAAUUCCUCAGCCAGAUGUAUAUAUUUGCAUAUGCAUGUCCUUCAGGAAAGAAAC